rnacentral:rRNA from 1 species
UACGUAGGGGGCAAGCGUUGUUCGGAUUCACUGGGCGUAAAGGGUGUGUAGGUGGUCUGAGCAAGUCGAAUGUGAAAUCUCAUGGCUCAACCAUGAAAGGGCAUUCGAAACUGCUUGACUAGGGUUCGGGAAAGGAGAGUGGAAUUCUCGGUGUAGCGGUGAAAUGCGUAGAUAUCGAGAAGAACACCAGUAGCGAAAGCGGCUCUCUAGACCGAAACCGACACUGAGACACGAAAGCGUGGGGAGCGAACGGG